AGCAGCAUGGCUUAGUGGAUAGAGCAUGGGCUUUCAAGUCAGAAGGACCUGGGUUCUAAUCCCGGCUCUGCCA
rnacentral:tRNA from 1 species